UGGCGGACGGGUGAGUAAUGUCUAGGGAAACUGCCUGAUGGGAGGGGAUAACUACUGAAACGGUAGCUAAUACCGCAUAACGUCGCAAGACCAAAGAGGGGGACCUUGGGCCUCUUGCCAUCGGAUGUGCCCAGAUGGGAUUAGCUAGUAGGUGGGGUAAAGGCUCACCUAGGCGACGAUCCCUAGCUGGUCUGAGAGGAUGACCAGCCACACUGGAACUGAGACACGGUCCAG
rnacentral:rRNA from 1 species